CCGCUGUGAAGGUGCUGCAUGGUUGUCGUCAGCUCGUGCCGUGAGGUGUCGGCUUAAGUGCCAUAACGAGCGCAACCCUUAUCUUUAGUUACUAACAGGUUAUGCUGAGGACUCUAGAGAGACUGCCGUCGUAAGAUGUGAGGAAGGUGGGGAUGACGUCAAAUCAGCACGGCCCUUACGUCCGGGGCUACACACGUGUUACAAUGGGGGGUACAGAAGGCAGCUAGCGGGUGACCGUAUGCUAAUCCCAAAAGCCUCUCUCAGUUCGGAUCGAAGUCUGCAACCCGACUUCGUGAAGCUGGAUUCGCUAGUAAUCGCGCAUCAGCCACGGCGCGGUGAAUACGUUCCCGGGCCUUGUACACACCGCCCGUCAAGCCAUGGGAGCCGGGGGUACCUGAAGUACGUAACCGCAAGGAUCGUCCUAGGGUAAAACUGGUGACUGGGGCUAAGUCGUAACAAGGUAGCCGUACCGGAAGGUGCGGCUGGAACACCUCCUUU
rnacentral:rRNA from 1 species